GGCAAUUCUUGGGUCACGCACCCCAGAAUUGGGCUCCCUCUUCUCUGGUUCCAGGUGCAUCACCCAAGAACCACA
rfam:Myotis brandtii contig281473, whole genome shotgun sequence.